rnacentral:rRNA from 1 species
ACUCGAGUGGCGAACGGGUGAGUAACACGUGGGUGAUCUGCCCUGCACUUCGGGAUAAGCUUGGGAAACUGGGUCUAAUACCGGAUAGGACCAUGCUUUAGUGUGUGUGGUGGAAAGUUUUUUCGGUGUAGGAUGAGCCCGCGGCCUAUCAGCUUGUUGGUGGGGUAAUGGCCUACCAAGGCGGCGACGGGUAGCCGGACUGAGAGGUUGGUCGGCCACAUUGGGACUGAGAUACGGCCCAG